UAUAAAUGGAAGGGUCAAAUAUAGGUCUUAUAAAUUCUUCCUUCGUUUUUUCUCACUCGCUCUUUCACUUUCUCAUUUCAGUAUUUAUUAAAUGGGUGACUCUGUCUUCGAAUACGCGCCAAAUGAACCCACAAAUGUUCCUACCAAAUACACUCUUCAACCCUCCUUUCAUAUUUCCCCAUUCUUUUGUUACCAGAGGAAGCUCAAACCGCAAUAAGAAUCCGAGUAGAAAAAAAUUGGCAAGGCGUAAGGCCGGGAGAAAAGGGCUCGUCAACAGCCUACGGUUUUGUUUUGUUUUAAAGCCUUUACCCUCUCUCUUUCCCUUUGCUGUUUCGCUCUUCUGCUAGUGUUAAAUCAGGGUCUUCUUCCCCUCCCCUUCCCCUCUAUCUCCUCCAACAAACAGCCAAUGGAUAGAUAACAGAAAGUAGAGAAGUCAAAGCCAGAACCACCCAUUAACGAGAAUGAGAUCCGAAUCAAUUCCAAAGGCGCUAUUGGAAACUACAUCAACUAUGCUAUUGCUCUUCUUCAGGUUUUAAAGAUGAACUUUCAGGGCUCAGAAACCAUGAAUUUUCCCCUGAAUUUGGGAUUGUGCUAGAUGCUGAUCAUCUUGAUGCAAUUGGUGCUAUAGGAAUUGCUCACUGUUUUAGUUUUGGUGGAAACAGAAACAGAGUUCUUCAUGAUCCUGCCAUCCAGCCACGAUCAGACUUAUCCAAGGAAUGGUACAUGAAGAAAGAGGAGCAGAUCAUGAGAAGCUUCUCAAGUUAAAGGAUUUGAUGAAAACUAAGGCUGGGCAAAGGAGGGCCAAGAAAAGGCACAAGCUCAUGGAGGAAUUCCUUAAAGAACUUUAUAAGGAUUGGGAUAGGAAGGCUUGAAUGAAGUGAUAUUUCUCCACCUAGAUACAGUAUAAUUGCUUAUCAGAAGGCAGUCUUGAAAACAUUAUGAAUGUUGAUAAUUUUCAGAAUUUGGACAGAACUUUUGGUGGGAAAAUAGUAUUAUUAGGAGGUGAUUUCCAACAAUUUUACCAAUUGUCCCAUCUGGAUCAAAAAAUUGUCUUAAGAAUCAUAAAUUUUGUGUACUUUGACCAAUUACAAUUGCAAUUUUUUGGACAAAUGGUCUGCAAAUGUAAAAAAUAGUACACAAAUUGUUGCUUGGCAACUUACAUGCAUAGGAACAGAGCUGAAGAGGGAAUAUCAUAUGAGCUUUUCUUUUUUUCUGAAAUUUCAAUAUGUGAUAGAUAAAAACAGGGUGAGCCUGAGCUCCCCACCAAUAUGAGUUUUUCUAAUCAUGGCUCUAACUGCACUUAUGAGCUAAUACAUGUAAUUGAUUUUGUAUCAA
rnacentral:sRNA from 1 species